GGAGGACUGAGUGCACUUUCUUACAGUUGUUAGUGUUUCCCUGGACAACUCCGAGGGAGGAGUCUGCACGAGGGCUAUUAUCAGCCCCUCCAUGGCACUUCCUCUCGGAGUUCACCAACACACUACAAGAGGUCAGUAAAGCAUCAAGUCAAUUUGUUGGGCUGAGUCAAACUGUAACCAACUGUCGUCAUUAAAGUGUGAGUCAUAGGUUCACACUUUAAUGCAUCUGGAGGGAUUGUCUGAUUGUGCAAACCUCAGGUGUUUGUAACCUCUCUGGUGAGGUGUCACUGCUGUCUCUUCGUGACUGCAAACACAGUGCCAGUUACCAUUGAAGGAGCAGGAAAAAACAACUGUUGUGGUUUGAACUGCCCUCUGCUGGUUCAAAGGGCCUUCUGCAGAGAUCUCUCAAAGCAGGGACACACGCUGUACAGAUCCAGGGAUGUGGUUUGGAGUAAAGGCAGCAGAACUCUCUUGAGGCACAGAUUUUAACUGGUGGCCCAGUAGUGCUGAACUGAAAACACUUUUGCUCUAAAAAGCUCUGAUUGUGGGUGUUUACCUUGAAGGAAUCCCUAAGUGACGGCUAUAGUUUACUCUCCUUUCUAUUUAUCACACAGACCCAUAAAAUAUUGAAAAAGCAGACUUGAGUAGAGAACUGUACCUCACAACAGCAGCAUCUGUGCUUGACUAAAAUGUUUUUCUUAUAUUCAGAAGUGAUUCCCUGCCUUCGAUAAGCACUAUUAAGCAUUCAAAUGCUUCUAUUCCUCAGCAGCAGUCAUGUGAAAUGUGUUUUAUUCUGCGUGGAUAGAAAAUAAAUUGUACAAAGAGUA